rnacentral:rRNA from 1 species
UACGUAGGGUGCGAGCGUUAAUCGGAUUUACUGGGCGUAAAGCGUGCGCAGGCGGCCCGUUAAGACAGGUGUGAAAUCCCUGGGCUCAACCGAGGAAUUGCGCUUGUGACUGGAGGGCUCGAGUACGGUAGAGGGGGGUGGAAUUCCUGGUGUAGCAGUGAAAUGCGUAGAGAUCAGGAGGAACACCGAUGGCGAAGGCAGCCCCCUGGGCCUGUACUGACGCUCAUGCACGAAAGCGUGGGGAGCAAACAGG